GUCCAGACUCCUACGGGAGGCAGCAGUGGGGAAUAUUGCACAAUGGGCGAAAGCCUGAUGCAGCUAUACCGCGUGUAUGAAGAAGGCCUUAGGGUUGUAAAGUACUUUCGUUGGGGAGGAAAAAUAAAUAGAUAAUACCUGUUUAUCGUGACGUUACCCAAAAAAGAAGCACCGGCUAACUCCGUGCCAGCAGCCGCGGUAAUACGGAGGGUGCAAGCGUUAAUCAGAAUUACUGGGCGUAAAGAGCUCGUAGGCGGUUUUUUAAGUCAGAUGUGAAAUCCCUGGGCUUAACCUAGGAACUGCAUUUGAAACUAAAAGACUAGAGUAUCGUAGAGGGAGGUAGAAUUCUAGGUGUAGCGGUGAAAUGCGUAGAUAUCUGGAGGAAUACCUGUGGCGAAAGCGGCCUCCUAAAUGAAUACUGACGCUGAGGUGCGAAAGCAUGGGGAGCAAACAGGAUUAGAUACCCUGGUAGUCCAUGCCGUAAACGAUGUCGACUUGGAGGUUGUUUCCUUGAGAAGUGACUUCCGAAGCUAACGCGUUAAGUCGACCGCCUGGGGAGUACGGUCGCAAGGCUAAAACUCAAAUGAAUUGACGGGGGCCCGCACAAGCGGUGGAGCAUGUGGUUUAAUUCGAUGCAACGCGAAAAACCUUACCUGGUCUUGACAUCCACAGAAUUUUUCAGAGAUGAAAAAGUGCCUUAGGGAACUGUGAGACAGGUGCUGCAUGGCUGUCGUCAGCUCGUGUUGUGAAAUGUUGGGUUAAGUCCCGCAACGAGCGCAACCCUUAUCCUCUGUUGCCAUUGGUUCGGCCAGGAACUCAGAGGAGACUGCCGGUUAUAAACCGGAGGAAGGCGGGGACGACGUCAAGUCAUCAUGGCCCUUACGACCAGGGCUACACACGUGCUACAAUGGUGUAUACAAAGAGAAGCAACUCUGCAAAGACAAGCAAACCUCAUAAAGUACAUCGUAGUCCGGACUGGAGUCUGCAACUCGACUCACA
rnacentral:rRNA from 2 species